UACGAAGGGGGCAAGCGUUGUUCGGAAUUACUGGGCGUAAAGGGCGCGCAGGCGGCCCUUGAAGUCAGGUGUGAAAUCCCCGGGCUCAACCUGGGAAUGGCAUUGGAUACUGGCUCGCUAGAGUGCGGUAGAGGGUGGUGGAAUUCCCGGUGUAGCAGUGAAAUGCGUAGAGAUCGGGAGGAACAUCUGUGGCGAAGGCGGCCACCUGGACCAACACUGACACUGAGGCACGAAAGCGUGGGGAGCAAACAGG
rnacentral:rRNA from 1 species